UAGGGAAUCUUCCGCAAUGGACGAAAGUCUGACGGAGCAACGCCGCGUGAGUGAAGAAGGAUUUCGGUUCGUAAAACUCUGUUGUUAGGGAAGAAAAAAUGUAUAGUAACUAUAUACAAAAGAGACGGUACCUAACCAGAAAGCCACGGCUAACUACGUGCCAGCAGCCGCGGUAAUACGUAGGUGGCAAGCGUUGUCCGGAAUAAUUGGGCGUAAAGCGCGCGCAGGUGGUUGAGAAAGUCUGAUGUGAAAGCCCACGGCUCAACCGUGGAGAGUCAUUGGAAACUAAUAAACUUGAGUGCAGGAGAGAGACGUGGAAUUCCUGGUAUAGCGGUGAAAUGAGUAGAGAUUAGGAGGAACACCGGUGGCGAAAGCGGCUUUUUGGCCUGCAACUGACACUGAGGCGCGAAAGCGUGGGGAGCAAACAGG
rnacentral:rRNA from 1 species